rnacentral:rRNA from 1 species
GACGAACGCUGGCGGCGUGCUUAACACAUGCAAGUCGAGCGGUAAGGCCCUUUCGGGGGUACACGAGCGGCGAACGGGUGAGUAACACGUGGGUGACCUGCCCUCAGCUCUGGGAUAAGCCUGGGAAACCGAGUCUAAUACUGGAUAUGACUCCAUGACGCAUGUUGUGGGGUGGAAAGCCUUGUGCGGCUGAGGAUGGGCCCGCGGCCUAUCAGCUUGUUGGUGGGGUGAUGGCCUACCAAGGCGACGACGGGUAGCCGGCCUGAGAGGGCGACCGGCCACACUGGGACUGAGACACGGCCCAGACUCCUACGGGAGGCAGCAGUGGGGAAUCUUGCGCAAUGGGCGAAAGCCUGACGCAGCGACGCCGCGUGAGGGAUGACGGCCUC